UCAAUAUUUUUAUUAUUCUCUUCCUUUUUUUUUUAGGCCAGGCAGCUGGAAGAGAAGGAGAGGGAGCUGAAGAAACAUGAUGCUUACUACAAAGAGCAGCUGGCUCGGCUGGAAGAAAGGAGUGCCCAGUUCUACAAAGUCACCACUGAGCAAUACCAAAAAGCUGCUGAUGAAGUCUCAUCUCGGUUCAAGAGAUAUGAAUCCCACCCCAUCUGUGGGGAGCUGCAGGAUAAAAUCCUCCAGUGCUACCGGGAACAUGCCCAGGAGACCCUGAGCUGCUCUGCCCUGGCCAGCCAGUACCUGCACUGUGUCAAUCAUGCCAAACAGCAGAGAAUGCUUGGGAGAGGAGGAUAAAGGCAUUGUCCAAAUCAAGCACAAGACCAUCAACUAAUUUCAGCAGAAGAGUUGUUUUUUUUUCUCCCCAACAACGAUCUGGCAGCCCAUUUGCAGGGCAGCCCAAUAAAGAGAAGUGGAAGAGCCAUUUGAAGGGCAGCAUCCUCAAUCAGAGUCCUGGAUCUUUUUCCAUCCAGCUCGCCCGUCCCAGGCUGAUGUUCUGCAUUCUCAGAGCCCACUAACUGCUGAUUGAAGGAAGGGAAAGAAAAGAACCUUUCUCUGGCCUCAGAGAGGGGAAAUAUCCUUCAAAUGCUGCUGUUUCACUGUAGAAUCUCCUCUGUAGCUCCUCUCUGGCAGAGGCAGGGGAGUUUAACCCUUGCAGUGCCAGGAUGUGGCUGUUCCUCGGGAGCAGCCGCUGGUCCCGGUGCCAGAGUUCUCCUCACACUGUAGAAUGGUAAAUUGUGCUUUAACUUAUUUCCCAAAUGACCUGGCUUGAUGAAGUGUCUCUCUGCAGGCCUUCUGCUGGAAUGAUGUUUGUGAUCCAGCACUUUGGGUGCUCCAUGGCCUUUAUUUCCAUGGGAUGGUUCUGUUGUGCUCCUCGCUCGUAUCAAGUCCUGACGAGAAUGCCUCGCUCUGUACCAACAAUAAAUCUUAUUUUAUGCACAAGA